rnacentral:sRNA from 1 species
GCUGGGUGCGGUGGCGCAGGCCUGUGGUCUCAGCGACUGGGGAGGCUGAGGCAGGAGGAUCGCAAGUUGGAGACCAGCCUCAGCAAUUUAGCAAGACCCUGUCUCAA